AAAUGGCAGCACAGUCGUUGUUUUUAUUUUCUCAAGUGAAAAAAAUCUCCGAUGACUUCUGCAAUGCAAAAUGGAAUAAAGAUUUCAAGAAGUGUGACCUGGUAUUGUUUGAAAAAUAUGGCUGGACAAGUAGCAAAUAUCUUGGUUCUAAUAAAUGGUGAUAUUGGGUAAUUUAAAGCUGAUCAAGACUGAGUAUCAAUUAAGCUUUUGAUCAAUAAGCAAGUGCUCAUAAAUCAACAGAUAACCACUGUUGAAAGCACGUAAUGAUGCUGCUGAUGGUGAUAAAAGUUUGUGCAAAUUAAAAUCAUCCGAGAAUCAUUAUGGACAGACACGAGUGGCAGCAUUUAAACAUUUCACUUGUCUACUAAUGAAAUCAUAAAAAAUUGAUGAUUCAGACAGUGAAUGAGAGCAUCAUCUGAACACCUUUCUUCAUAAAUCUGCUUGAA